rnacentral:sRNA from 1 species
GUUGGGCAUCAUGGUGCAUGCCUGUAAUCCCAACACUUGGGAGAUUGAGGCAGGAGGACUGCUUGGGUCCAGGAGUUCAAGGCCAGCCUGGGCAACAUAGCACACUCUGUCUCUU